AACAGACCUCGCCUCCCCACAUGGCUCCCAGCCUUCAGACAGCAUGGCCGUCCUCCAUCAGCUCGAAGGCCCUCCCGUGCCCCAGGCGGGUCCCUGGAAACCACAGGAACCGCGAGGGAAGGCAGCGAGACGUCGGCCCAUUUUCAACGGGGAGCAGGGGGAGGAGGAGGAGAGCUGAGCUGCGUGUGGUUGGGUUUUUACUGCAACGAGGGAGGGAAACCAGGGGUGUAGACAUCCAUCACCAGGGGAAAGAAUGAAGGCGCCCUGAGCCAGCUGAGCCACUUCCAACAACGACCGAGGCCAAAACCCGCGGGCAGGGCAGGCGCCAUCCGAGAGCCACGGGGAGGUUAACCUGGGACCCAGGCGGUACCUAACCUUCUGCAUGGGCCUCGGAAACCCAGCUCCGCCCACAGCCACCGGUGGAGUCACGGCGCCUACGAACACCCGUCGGCCAGGAACCUGGAGCUGGGCCUGGUCUGGAAAUCAGGACUUGACGGAGGAACAAAGGGAUGGAGAUGAGGUCGUGACUACGCGUCAGCCCUCGCCCCAUCAGGGUGUCCUGGUGGGGGACAGAAAAGGCCCCCCAGGGACACAGAGGAGGCCCAGGAAGACAGAAGCAGAGGCUGGGGUGAUGCGGCCACAAGCCAACGUGUGCUGGCGGUCCCGGGAGCUGGAGGUGGCGAGGAAGAUCCUCCGGAGCCUCCAGAGGGAGCCCGUCCGCCCUGGCCCCUGACGGCCAGCUUCCUGCCUCCAGGACUGUGCGCGAAUGCAUUUCUGUGUGUCAGCUGUCCCGUGGGUGGGAUUUGUCACGGCUUCUGGGGUUUAAUGCUCCCAACAACCCCAGUUCACAGGGCAGGGCGGGAGGGGGGCGCGAGGAGCAAGGGGUGUCCCUCAAGGUGACACCGGGGCCGGAUCCAAGCGUCACUGCUCUCCUACCCCCUUGGACUCAAUUCCAGACCAUGCAGCCCGGCCGCGUGGCUCAGUGGUGAGCGUCAGCCUAGGAACUGGGA